CAAUAGCGUAUAUUAAAGUUGUUGCAGUUAAAAAGCUCGUAGUUGGAUUUCUGGUGGGAGCGAUCGGUCUGGCGCUUAGCGCGAGUACUUGCAUCGUCUCCGGCCAUCCUUGGGGAAAGUCUGUCUGGCAUUAAGUUGUCGGGCAGAGGAUCCUCAUCGUUUACUGUGAAAAAAUUAGAGUGUUCAAAGCAGGCUUAUGCCGUUGAAUAUAUUAGCAUGGAAUAAUAAGAUAGGACUUUGGUACUAUUUUGUUGGUUUGCGCACCAAAGUAAUGAUUAAUAGGGACAGUUGGGGGUAUUCGUAUUCCGUUGUCAGAGGUGAAAUUCUUGGAUUUACGGAAGACGAACUACUGCGAAAGCAUUUACCAAGGAUGUUUUCAUUAA
rnacentral:rRNA from 1 species